GAUGAACGCUAGCGGGAGGCCUAACACAUGCAAGCCGAGCGGUAUUGUUUCUUCGGAAAUGAGAGAGCGGCGUACGGGUGCGGAACACGUGUGCAACCUGCCUUUAUCUGGGGGAUAGCCUUUCGAAAGGAAGAUUAAUACUCCAUAAUAUAUUGAACGGCAUCGUUUAAUAUUGAAAGCUCCGGCGGAUAGAGAUGGGCACGCGCAAGAUUAGCUAGUUGGUGAGGUAACGGCUCACCAAGGCGAUGAUCUUUAGGGGGCCUGAGAGGGUGAUCCCCCACACUGGUACUGAGACACGGACCGGACUCCUACGGGAGGCAGCAGUGAGGAAUAUUGGUCAAUGGGUGCAAGCCUGAACCAGCCAUCCCGCGUGAAGGACGACUGCCCUAUGGGUUGUAAACUUCUUUUGUAUAGGGAUAAACCUACCCUCGUGAGGGUAGCUGAAGGUACUAUACGAAUAAGCACCGGCUAACUCCGUGCCAGCAGCCGCGGUAAUACGGAGGGUGCAAGCGUUAUCCGGAUUUAUUGGGUUUAAAGGGUCCGUAGGCGGACUUAUAAGUCAGUGGUGAAAGCCUGUCGCUUAACGAUAGAACUGCCAUUGAUACUGUAAGUCUUGAGUAUAUUUGAGGUAGCUGGAAUAAGUAGUGUAGCGGUGAAAUGCAUAGAUAUUACUUAGAACACCAAUUGCGAAGGCAGGUUACCAAGAUAUAACUGACGCUGAGGGACGAAAGCGUGGGGAGCGAACAGGAUUAGAUACCCUGGUAGUCCACGCCGUAAACGAUGCUAACUCGUUUUUGGGCUUUAGGGUUCAGAGACCAAGCGGAAGUGAUAAGUUAGCCACCUGGGGAGUACGCUCGCAAGAGUGAAACUCAGAGGAAUUGACGGGGGCCCGCACAAGCGGUGGAUUAUGUGGUUUAAUUCGAUGAUACGCGAGGAACCUUACCAAGACUUAAAUGGGAAUUGACAGCUUUAGAAAUAGAGCUUUCUUCGGACAAUUUUCAAGGUGCUGCAUGGUUGUCGUCAGCUCGUGCCGUGAGGUGUUAGGUUAAGUCCUGCAACGAGCGCAACCCCUGUCACUAGUUGCCAUCAUUCAGUUGGGACUCUAGUGAGACUGCCUACGCAAGUAGAGAGGAAGGUGGGGAUGACGUCAAAUCAUCACGGCCCUUACGUCUUGGGCCACACACGUAAUACAAUGGCCGGUACAGAGGGCAGCUACACAGCGAUGUGAUGCAAAUCUCGAAAGCCGGUCUCAGUUCGGAUUGGAGUCUGCAACUCGACUCUAUGAAGCUGGAAUCGCUAGUAAUCGCGCAUCAGCCAUGGCGCGGUGAAUACGUUCCCGGGCCU
rnacentral:rRNA from 1 species